UACGUAGGGUGCAAGCGUUAAUCGGAAUUACUGGGCGUAAAGCGUGCGCAGGCGGUUUUGUAAGUCUGUCGUGAAAGCCCCGGGCUCAACCUGGGAAUUGCGAUGGAGACUGCAAGGCUUGAAUCUGGCAGAGGGGGGUAGAAUUCCACGUGUAGCAGUGAAAUGCGUAGAGAUGUGGAGGAACACCGAUGGCGAAGGCAUCCCCCUGGGUCAAGAUUGACGCUCAUGCAAGAAAGAGUGGGGAGCAAACAGG
rnacentral:rRNA from 1 species